GACGAACGCUGGCGGCGUGCCUAAUACAUGCAAGUCGAACGCAGUGGGGACGGGUGAGUAAAACGUGGCUAACCUCCCAUAAGAGGGGGUAACAAUUGGAAAAAGGUGCUAAACCGAUACUGAUGGAUGGACCCGAGGUGCAUUAGCUAGUUGGGGAGGUAACGGCCCACCAAGGCCACGAUGCAUCGCCGUCCUGUGAGGGUGAUCGGCCACACUGGGACUGAGACACGGCCCAGACUCCGACGGGAGGCAGCAGUAGGGAAUCUUCGGCAAUGGACGAAAGUCUGACCGAGCAACGCCGCGUGAGUGAAGAAGGUUUUCGGAUCGUAAAACUCUGUUGGUAGAGAGGCGGUAUCUAACCAGAAAGCCACGGCUAACUACGUGCCAGCAGCCGCGGUAAUAC
rnacentral:rRNA from 1 species